ACCCCGAGCCCCCGAAGCCCAGGGCACGCCUCCCGCAUCAACCCCCCACAAAACCCCUCGAAACCCAGGCGAGAGGCGCCGCGCCGUGGUGGAAUCGACCGGCUGCUUUUCUCUCGGAGCCCGCAGCUCCUCCUCGUUCCAAGGGCCGCCGCGCUGCUCCCCCCCACAUCACCAACCCACCAACCCCUAGUCGCCCCAGCCCGCCAUGGCCGAGCGCCUCGCCGCCGCCACCGCGGCCACCCUCCGAGCCUCGGCCGCCGCCCCGUCCGCCCGCCGCGCGGCGCGGGCCAGCCGCGCCUUUUUCCCGAACCCGUCGGCCUCGCCAGCUCGCGCGGGCGUCGCCCUCCGCGCCGCGCCCUCCCGGCUCCCGCAGAAGGCGAGGGCGGUGAGGUGCUCGGCGGCGGCUGCGACGGCGGCGUCCGACGCAACGCAGCUGAAGGCCGCCCGCGAGGGCAUCAGGGAGCUUCUCGGGACGACUCAUUGCCACCCCGUCCUGGUCCGCCUGGGAUGGCAUGAUUCUGGUACAUAUGACAAGAAUAUUGAGGAGUGGCCACAACGAGGUGGAGCUAAUGGAAGCUUAAGAUUUGAUGUUGAACUGAAACAUGGAGCCAAUGCUGGCCUGAUAAAUGCUCUAAAGCUUAUCCAACCAAUUAAGGACAAGUACCCGGGCAUUACUUAUGCGGAUUUAUUUCAGUUGGCAAGUGCUACAGCAAUUGAGGAAGCUGGUGGCCCAAAGAUUCCAAUGAAAUAUGGACGGGUUGAUGUUACAGGACCUGAGCAGUGCCCACCUGAGGGGAAGCUUCCUGAUGCUGGCCCAAGUUCACCUGCUGACCACUUGAGGGAGGUAUUCUACAGAAUGGGCCUUGAUGACAAGGACAUUGUUGUCUUGUCUGGAGCACAUACACUUGGAAGGUCCAGGCCUGAACGGAGUGGCUGGGGAAAACCAGAGACAAAAUAUACCAAAAAUGGUCCUGGUGCACCUGGUGGGCAGUCAUGGACAGCUGAGUGGUUGAAAUUUGAUAACAGUUACUUCAAGGAGAUUAAAGAGAAAAGAGAUCAGGAUCUUCUGGUCCUACCUACAGAUGCUGCUUUAUUUGAGGACCCAGCAUUCAAGGUCUAUGCAGAGAAAUAUGCAGCGGACCAAGAUGCAUUCUUUAAAGACUACGCUGAGGCUCAUGCUAAACUGAGCAAUCUGGGUGCAAAGUUCAAUCCUCCACAGGGAAUCUCUCUGGAUGAUUAGUGCUGCACCUAGCCCCGCAAAGCAGGCAAAUACUCUCGUACAAAAGGUGUCUAUUCCUCCUGCCUUCAAAUAUGAUCAAAGACAAAGAGAAACACAUACGAUUUAUUGCUCAUCGUACAAGAUGGAUCCGUCCCCAGCUUUUUUAUAAUUGAAGAUUGGCUCUUUCUAUUUAUCCCGACUUCGGAAGCGAGCUUGCGAAUAAAUGGAAUAAAACAGACACGUCAUGAAUUUCAGAGCCAUUGUGUGAUCCUCCAGAUGGAGCUAUCUGAUCUGAUGUUCCAUUUCUCUUGCA